rnacentral:rRNA from 1 species
AACGAACGCUGGCGGCAUGCCUAACACAUGCAAGUCGAACGAUUGCCCUCUGGUGAUUUUGGCUCACGGGUGCGUAACGCGUGGGAAUCUGCCCUUAGGUUCGGAAUAACAGCUGGAAACGGCUUCUAAUACCGGAUGAUAUCGCGAGAUCAAAGAUUUAUCGCCUGAGGAUGAGCCCGCGUUGGAUUCCGUGGUUGGUUGGGUAAGCGCCUACCAAGCCGACAAUACAUAGCUGGUCUGAGAGGAGGAUCAGCCACACUGGGACUGAGACACGGCCGAGAAUACUACGGGAGGGAGCAGAGGGGAAUAUUGGACAAUGGGCGCAAGCAUGAUCCAGCAAGGCCGGGUGAGUGAUGAAGGCGGUAGGGUUGUAAAGCUGUUUUACACGGGAAGAUAAUGACGGUACCGGGAGAAUAAGCCCCGGCUAACUCCGUG